GCCGGGAUGGCUCAGUGGUUGAGCGUCAGCCUAUGAACCAGGAGGUCACGGUUCAGUUCCCUGUCAGGGCA
rnacentral:tRNA from 1 species